GCGAAGCGGCAGCUGCUGUGCAGCAGGACACAAAUGGCGGUACGCAGGCUGUCCAACACCAUCUUCGUUAAAUUAGCUCAAUAUCGCAGACGAUAUUUGUUUGAAAUGUUAUAAAAUUAUCGAACAUAGAAAAUGGUUAAAGCCUUCUUGCUCCGCUGCAGCGGCUCCGUUAUGGGCUUGGAUCCUCGUUGCUGGUUGGUGGUUCAAACUCAGUAUGGGCGAGGCUGAAAAGUUUACAGACUUAUCAUCGAAAAACGAUUCGGCUGACCGGUGGUAUUCAAAAAGAACAUGUCUGUAAGAUUCAGCCGCGCCACAGAGAAUAUCUUCCUUUUAGAAAGGUCUCCGUGCUGUGGCUGUCUGAGGAUGGUCUGUGUAGAGUCCCUGAGGAGUGGUUACAGGGAGGGGCUGGUAGCAGAGCCAACCCGACCCAGCCUUUCUCUGUUCAAUCAGUCCACAUUAACCAGACUCACCCAUGAUAAGACUGGGACCUGACGAUGGAGAUUACGCACAUGUACAUCACUGGUUGGGGAAGGAACAGGUGAUUUGACCGGAUGUGAAUGGACCAAACCAGAUUUGACUGGAUAAGACCAGAUCUGACUGGACCAAACCUGAUGUGACCAGUUCAGACCAGAUCUGACUGGACCAAACCAGCUGUGACUGGAUCAGACAAGAUCUUUCUCUCCCUCUUUCUCUCUUUUCUAGGUUUCUGUGGCAACUGUGGGAAUGAUGAGCCAUCAGUUUGGAGAGUGAAACUGAACACAACUGUUCAGAACCGAUCUGUUGUAGCAACCUUAGAGAAACCAGAAAUGGACAAUAUUAGAACAUUGUCCAGUUGCCCUGUUCUCAAAUGUAAUCGGUCUUGGAAAAAAAAACAGUCACACGCCUGUCAAGAAUUCAAAUGCAAGCGAUGUAGUGCCACAAGUCAUGUAUUCAUUUAGCAGAGGCUUUUAUCCAGUACAACGUAGAGGGUAUGGAUUUGAACCUUAUCUGCAGUCAAAACCUCUACCACAGAUCUAGUAGUGUUUCAUUGUUUUUAUGUUUCAAAUAAAAAAGUGUCUCUCC